rnacentral:lncRNA from 1 species
CUAAGAUAAAUAAUAUAUCUGAACAAUUAGAUCAAUUAUACCUUGAAAAAACUAAAGGAGCUCAAAUAAGGUCAAGAGCAAAAUGGAUAGAAGAAGGUGAAAAAAAUACUGCUUUUUUUCUUGAAUUUAGAAAAAUCAAGACAAAUAAAUAAAAGUAUAAUAGAAUUAUAUGACGAUAAAGGCAAUACUAUAACAGACCAAACAGAAAUUUUAAAAGAGGAAGUAAAAUAUUAUGAAAAACUAUAUAAAUCAUCAAAUCCAGAUAAAUUACAUACUAAAGAGUAUAUUCAAAAUACUAAAAUAGAAAAAAAAUUCUCAGAUAAAGACAGUAAUAGCUUAGAAGGGCUUGUGACAUCAGAAGAAAUUACAGAAGCAGUGUUUAAAAUGAAACUUAAUAAAGCACCAGGUUUAGAUGGACUUAAUGUAGAAUUCUAUAGAAAAUUUUGGACCCAAAUUCAAAAGAUAUUAACCAAAGUAUAUAAUGAGUCAUAUAAAAAGAAAAGUUUAACAAAUUCGCAAAAAAAGGGGGC